rnacentral:pre_miRNA from 1 species
AGCCUUUUGUAUGCGUGCUGAGGAUUCUUCAGUAACCAGUCCAUUAGGGUUGAUAAAUCGCCUCAAAUAAAUGAAGUG